AGCUCGACGGGGUCGACCGCCCGCGUCACGACGAGAUAGUCCCGCAUGACGAUGCCGUGCCGGUUCUC
rnacentral:sRNA from 2 species